GACGAACGCUGGCGGCGUGCUUAAAACAUGCAAGUCGAACGGGGAGCUUCGGCUCCUAGUGGCGUACGGGUGAGUAACACGUGAACAACCUGCCGCGCUGUGGGGGAUACCGACUCGAAAGGGUCGUUAAUACCGCAUAGUCGCCUGGGGCGCAUGCCCUGGGCGGGAAAGCCGCAAGGCGCAGGGCGAGGGGUUCGCGUCCUAUCAGCUUGUUGGUGAGGUCAUGGCUCACCAAGGCGACGACGGGUAGCCGGCCUGAGAGGGUGAUCGGCCACACUGGGACUGAGACACGGCCCAGACUCCUACGGGGGGCAGCAGUUGGGAAUCUUGCGCAAUGGGGGCAACCCUGACGCAGCGACGCCGCGUGCGGGACGACGAUCUUCGGAUUGUAAACCGCUUUUCCCAGGGACGAUAAUGACGGUACCUGGGGAAUCAGCCCCGGCUAACUCCGUGCCAGCAGCCGCGGUAAGACGGAGGGGGCAAGCGUUGUCCGGAAUUACUGGGCGUAAAGCGCUCGUAGGCGGUUGCGUACGGCGGUGGUGAAAGCUCCCGGCUUAACUGGGAGAGGCCCGCCGCAACGGCGUGACUCGAGGGUGGUAGAGGCAAAUGGAAUUCCUGGUGUAGCGGUGAAAUGCGUAGAGAUCAGGAGGAACACCCGUGGCGAAGGCGGUUUGCUGGGCCAUGCCUGACGCUGAGGAGCGAAAGCUAGGGGAGUGAACGGGAUUAGAUACCCCGGUAAUCCUAGCCGUAAACGAUGGACACUAGGUGUCAGCGGUAUCGACCCCGCUGGUGCCGUAGCU
rnacentral:rRNA from 1 species